rnacentral:rRNA from 1 species
UCUUCCGCAAUGGACGAAAGUCUGACGGAGCAACGCCGCGUGAGUGAUGAAGGUUUUCGGAUCGUAAAGCUCUGUUGCCAGGGAAGAACGUCCGUUAGAGUAACUGCUAACGGAGUGACGGUACCUGAGAAGAAAGCCCCGGCUAACUACGUGCCAGCAGCCGCGGUAAUACGUAGGGGGCGAGCGUUGUCCGGAAUUAUUGGGCGUAAAGCGCGCGCAGGCGGCUGUUUAAGUCUGGUGUUUAAUCCUGGGGCUCAACCCCGGGUCGCACUGGAAACUGGACAGCUUGAGUGCAGAAGAGGAGAGUGGAAUUCCACGUGUAGCGGUGAAAUGCGUAGAGAUGUGGAGGAACGCCAGUGGCGAAGGCGACUCUCUGGGCUGUAACUGACGCUGAGGCGCGAAAGCGUGGGGAGCAAAC